rnacentral:rRNA from 1 species
CCUACGUGAGGCAGCAGUGGGGAAUAUUGCACAAUGGGCGAAAGCCUGAUGCAGCAACGCCGCGUGAGCGAUGAAGGCCUUCGGGUCGUAAAGCCCUGUCAGCAGGGAAGAAAAUGACGGUACCUGAAGAAGAAGCCCCGGCUAACUACGGGCCAGAAGCCGCGGUAAUAAGUAGGGGGCAAGGGGUAUCCGGAUUUACUGGGGGUAAAGGGGGCGCAGACGGCGAUGCAAGCCAGGAGUGAAAGCCCGGGGCCCAACCCCGGGACGGCUCUUGGAACUGCGUGGCUGGAGUGCAGGAGGGGCAGGCGGAAUUCCUGGUGUAGCGGUGAAAUGCGUAGAUAUCAGGAGGAACACCGGUGGCGAAGGCGGCCUGCUGGACUGCAACUGACGUUGAGGCCCGAAAGCGUGGGGAGCAAACAGGAUUAGAUACCCGAGUAGUC